UACGUAGGGUGCGAGCGUUGUCCGGAAUUAUUGGGCGUAAAGAGCUUGUAGGCGGUUUGUCGCGUCUGCUGUGAAAAUCCGGGGCUCAACCCCGGACUUGCAGUGGGUACGGGCAGACUAGAGUGUGGUAGGGGAGACUGGAAUUCCUGGUGUAGCGGUGAAAUGCGCAGAUAUCAGGAGGAACACCGGUGGCGAAGGCGGUUCUCUGGGCCUUACCUGACGCUGAGGAGCGAAAGCGUGGGGAGCGAACAGG
rnacentral:rRNA from 1 species